UUCCUACUCAAUUAAGGGUCCUUUACAACUUGGUGUAGUUGUUUUGGAAGAAGGAGCACUUAUUUCUUCAAGUUGACAACUUGUUCAAGUGAAGAAAUUUGUAGAAAAAGGUUUUGGACGAAACGGGAUUUGAGUUUUGGCAAGCGUAAAGGGCAAGAAAGGUACCGACGACAGGUUUGCUGAUCCGUCCGCUUAGGAUCUUAUUCUCCUAUUUUGGAGCGCUCUCUUAUCCAGAGCCCAUCUUUUGGUAUAGUCUGUCACUACUGUAUAUAUAUAUUCUCGUUCAUGGGUACGGCGGGGCCCUGUCCCGUCAUAUGAUUCUGUCGGUCUGUUUAGAGGUCUGUGGACAUGUUUGUGGGUUGGGGUCUUUCUGUACA